rnacentral:lncRNA from 1 species
CUCUUACCUUGUAGUAUAGAAUUCCCCUAAGUUUUAGCUCGCAAUGUAUGCUAAGCUACAGAAAACAUUUCCCAGCCUCCCUACUACGUAGUGUGUGUGCUAGUUUUGAACAUGUUGCAACUUCUUGACACCCCUCCCAUAAAAAGGGGAAGUCUAAUUCCCAUGAAUAUGGGCCAGCCGUAGCGACUCUACUUCUACUAAAUAGAAUGUGGCAGAAGGAAUAUUGCAUGGCUUCCAAAGCCAGGUCAUAAAAGGUGACACAUCUCUGCCUGCUCUUUCUUUUGAGACACAUGCCUUAGGAGCUCUGAGCUGACAUGAAAGAAAUUGCAUUAGCCUGAAGCUGCCAUGCUAAAAAGACUAGGUAAAGAGGCCACAUAGAGACAGACAAGCCCCAAGUGUACCAUCCCCCACCUGUUUGUUUUCUCAACUGCAACCUUAAGACAUGUGAGUGAGUCUUCAGAUUAUUCCAGCCACUAGCUUUAUGCCACGUUUCAUGCGAAAUACACUCACUCCCUUCCGCUGAAGGCAUCAGGUUCAGGCUUGAGGCCCAGGAUCUUGUGAUAAAAAUCAAGUUCUCGUGUGAGUGAGGCUCCAUGAGUGUGGUUCCUGACGUACUGCUCAUCAGUUAACACUCCUCUUGACUGGAAGAUCUGUGUACUAAAGGGACGAGUUUUCUGUCUUCCCUAUACAAUAGUGGGCCUGGCACGAGAUGACUGUUCUGGACACUCUAAUUCAAAAAAGGGGAAACCAGGAGGCAUGUAACAGUCACUUGUCUAUGGUAUUUAUGGAAAAAGAAGGAUGACUCGGGCUGUCUCCAAGAAGCCACGGAGAAUGAUUCCCUGUUGGUGGAACUGAGUCCCCCUCAUGGGAUUGGUAACACAGGAUCAGCUGGAUUGCAGAAAUGCAUGAAGCAGAAAUGUAAAUAAUUUGGGCCAGAGGACCAAUUGUGGUGGCUUUAAACAUUUCCGCAAAUUCUUUGAUAAUCCUCCCAUGAAAAGGUGGAGUCUAAUUCUCCUCUCCCUCUAACAAAUAGGAUGUGUCAGAGGGGAUGCUUUGUGACUCCAAAACUAAGUCAUAAAAGGGGAUGCUACAGCUUUUGCUUGACUCUCUCUCCGGACGUGUUUUUGGAGCUCUGUAGCCACCAUACUGGAGGGACUUGUGGAGAAGCUAUAUCAAAAAAGAUGCCAAAGGAAGCCAAGCUGUGCCAACCCCAGCUAUUUGUGAAGAAUAGCUGGCUAGCUCUGUAAAACGUCCCCGGGCCUCUCAGAGUGAAUUUUGUCUAUGUCACACAAUCUGCAUAAUCAUACAGCUGGCAGAAAGGGAACCGUUGAUUGGAUAAAGAUUCACCUUUUAACCUCCUGGCCUGGAAGUGAUACCACUUCUGCUUACAAUCCACUGGCAAGAUCUAGUCACACAGCAUCACUUAUAAGCAAGGGAUGCUGGGAAAUGUAGCCCUUGGCUGGGCAACCGCCUGUUCAGUAACCACCCUACUUGAUGUAAGGGGAAAAGGAAGCUCCGGUGGACAGCUGGCUGUCUCUUGCCACAGCCUGACCCUCUGGCCCAGAAAUGUUCAUGAAGAUUCCUUCCCUCAAAUACCGAAAACUUGCCCCAGCCAAAAAAGAACACUAGAGGGAAUUAACUCAAAAUCCUAUUAGUUACUGCAUCCUUAGGGGCAAACCAGAUGGGGAGCCAACAAGAGACUACUCUCUCAGUACAGUCAAAAGAAGUCAAGGAUGGAUGAUCAGGAGGCUGAGGGGCCACCAUGCCAAUAAAAUGUCAUAAUCCCUUGCCCAGUUUUCAGCCUGAGCCAGUUUUUGGACCCAGGCCCACUGAUUGAAGAAAAAGACUGUGUUCCCAGGAGGCAGAACCCUGUAACACCAUACAAGUGUGUGUGGUCCUGGAUCUUCACCAAAGGGUUCUACCUGUGUAACUGAACUCUGAGGAAUACCCAAGCAUUUUGAUGACUUUUCGGCAAAGUCUUAGUAGACAUUAAUACCUAGAGACAGUAAUCACCAUCACAGGCCUCUGCUAGAGUGCAGGAAUACUGGGACCAGGUAAUAAAUGGAGACCUGGCCCGGAUUCAGCUUACAAUGGGUCCACUGGGUCUGUGGCCCCACCCCAUGGUUAUUUCCCUAGACCCCAAAUGUAUAAUGGAAAUAGACAUGCUUGGCAGUUGUACAACAUCACAUUGGUUCCUUGGCUUAGGGUAAGACCACCAUAGUGCAGAGGCCCAAGGAGAACACUCUGAAAUGAAUCCCCUCCAAGAUCAAGAUAGUGAAUCAAAACUGACAUGGCGUCCCCGGGGGGAAUGGAGAAACUAGUGUCAUCCCUCAAGAACUAGAGGAUUCAGAGUGAGGCCCCUGUCAUAUUGCCUUUAAAUGCACACGUCCAGACCAGACAAAUCUAGUGGGCUCAGGAAAAGUCAACCAAGUAAUAGUUCCAGUUGCAACUGUUGUGCCAGAUGUGGUAUCAUUGUUGGGUCAGCAUAGCUGGGCCUUAGUGCAGGUUACAUGUGACAACAUUCUUCCUUGGAAUCCUGUUUUUUUAAACUAAUUUCAAGUGACCUUAAAUCAGAAUGUAUA